rnacentral:piRNA from 1 species
UAACAGUGACUUGAAUGAGUAAUGGAAUA